UGGGGAAUAUUGGACAAUGGGCGAAAGCCUGAUCCAGCCAUGCCGCGUGUGUGAAGAAGGUCUUCGGAUUGUAAAGCCCUUUUGUUGGGAAAGAAAAGCAAUCGAUUAAUACUCGGUUGUUCUGACGGUACCCAAAGAAUAAGCACCGGCUAACUUCGUGCCAGCAGCCGCGGUAAUACGAAGGGUGCAAGCGUUACUCGGAAUUACUGGGCGUAAAGCGUGCGUAGGUGGUUGUUUAAGUCUGUUGUGAAAGCCCUGGGCUCAACCUGGGAAUUGCAGUGGAUACUGGGCAACUAGAGUGUGGUAGAGGGUAGUGGAAUUCCCGGUGUAGCAGUGAAAUGCGUAGAGAUCGGGAGGAACAUCCAUGGCGAAGGCAGCUACCUGGACCAACACUGACACUGAGGCACGAAAGCGUGGGGAGCAAACA
rnacentral:rRNA from 1 species